UACGAGGGGGGCAAGCGUUGUUCGGAAUUAUUGGGCGUAAAGGGCGCGUAGGCGGGCUGAUCAGUCAGGGGUGAAAUCCCAAGGCUCAACCUUGGAACUGCCUUUGAUACUGUCGGUCUUGAGUUCGAGAGAGGUAAGUGGAACUGCGAGUGUAGAGGUGAAAUUCGUAGAUAUUGGGAAGAACACCGGUGGCGAAGGCGGCUCACUGGCUCAUUACUGACGCUCAGGCGCGACAGCGUGGGGAUCAAACAGG
rnacentral:rRNA from 1 species